AAGAAAAGCUCUUAGUAAAGCAAAGAUAAAUAGAUUUGUCUACUUAAAAUAUUCAGAUAAGAUCUUUUCAUCACACUAGCAACCAGUGUGUGGCUGCGUUUCCCACUAGGUAGGAACCUGUCUUCCACUGAAUGGGAAUCUUGAGAUUCCAAUAACCAGUCUUUGGGAAUGUCUUCAUGGGUUAAUGGCGUGUUAAGGUUCUUUAAUUAGGUUAGUGGUGUAAUGGUUUAAUCGCAUGUUCUUUAUACUGAACACCAGGUCCUCAGCUGGUGUAAAUCAGCACAGCAAGGCUAACCUGUGCUGACUUACAGCAACGCAGGGAAAGCUGAAGGAGAUUAGCAGGGUGUCGUUGUCCUGUAACAGAGCCGUGUGGAUGGAGACCAUGCUGAGGGGCAGCGUUUGUCCCUAUCUGUGCAGGAAGGGCAGCGUGCCUACCUCUACGCUGAAGAGGCAGAACAAGACUAGUCCUCUGUCACUGGAGUGUCACCACCCCAGGGCUGCCUAGUCUGAGGCUGCUGCGACCAGCUGCGGGCAAGGAGGGACAGCACACACAUCUCGGCAGGCAGACAGCAGCAAGGUCACUGGCUCGGGGUGGUGUUUGUCCCCGUGCCCGGGGAGAGAGACCCCAUCUCUGUGUGUUUGCAAGAAAUCAAUGUCAGGGAUGGGAAUAAAGGCAACAGAGGCGAUACUCGUACAAAACCAUCCCAGCAAAAGGAAGGUGUCGGUAGCCAUGGGCAUACCGAGAGGAGAGCACAGGCACUCAGAAGAUCUGCUGGUGAAGUGAGCAGUGAGGAAGCAUGUCGGGUCCCAGCAGAACACCCCUCUCAGGGACACAGGGUCCCAGAGCCUGAAACAAGAAGAUCCCGCUCAGUCCACGGGAGGGAAGCUGCGGCUUUGGUCCUGGGCCUCUGCCUUAAUGCAAGCUGCCACAGGUACUGGAGCAGUGGCAAUGCUCUCUGGGCAUGAGAAGCCCCAGGCAACUGUAAAUGCUCCGGCAGUGAAGAUCUAAGCAGUGCUGGAUGAGAAGCUGUACAGUGGCAUCUCAGGAAACAUUUCUGAGAUGGAAAACUUGGGGACAAAACGGAGACAAGUGGAAGUUUUAUUCUAGUAAAAACAAGAGCUCUGCCCCAAAUCAGGCCAAAGGGCAGUCACACAAAGGCAAAUCCCUGCUCUGCCUGAUGAAACCCAGCAUUUUUUUGAGGAACUAUCCAUAUUUUCCCUCCUUAGAUUUCAUUUAGGCAGUCUCAUUGAGGUUGAGGAAUAACGUGGGAAAGAGCCUUUUUCUGCUUAGCAACCAAAGAGGUCCAGACUCCCAUUUCAAUCCCAGUGGAGACAAGAAGAUUGAAUUGUUGAGUUUCAACUAGGAAAUGGGAUGCAAUCUUCAUUCUCAUGGUGGGUGGUGGAGUAGGGAAGGAAUAAAAGACCAGAUUUUGUCCUUGAGCUUACUAAA
rnacentral:lncRNA from 1 species